rnacentral:misc_RNA from 1 species
CCCCAACUCUCCAGGUUGACCUCGGAUCAGGUAGGGAUACCCGCUGAACUUAAGCAUAUCAAUAAGCGGAGGAAAAGAAACCAACAGGGAUUGCCUCAGUAACGGCGAGUGAAGCGGCAACAGCUCAAAUUUGAAAUCUGGCCCCCUCGGGGUCCGAGUUGUAAUUUGUAGAAGAUGCUUCGGGUGUGGCCCCGGUCUAAGUUCCUUGGAACAGGACGUCACAGAGGGUGAGAAUCCCGUAUGUGACCGGUGGCCUCCCCCGUGUGAAGCUCUUUCGACGAGUCGAGUUGUUUGGGAAUGCAGCUCAAAAUGGGUGGUAAAUUUCAUCUAAAGCUAAAUAUUGGCCAGAGACCGAUAGCGCACAAGUAGAGUGAUCGAAAGAUGAAAAGCACUUUGGAAAGAGGGUUAAACAGUACGUGAAAUUGUUGAAAGGGAAGCGCUUGCAACCAGACUUGCGCGCGGUCGAUCAUCCGGGGUUCUCCCCGGUGCACUCGGCCGUGCGCAGGCCAGCAUCGGUUUGGGCGGCCGGACAAAGGCCUCGGGAAUGUGGCUCCUUCGGGAGUGUUAUAGCCCGAGGUGCAAUGCGGCCAGCCCGGACCGAGGACCGCGCUUCGGCUAGGAUGCUGGCGUAAUGGUUGUAAGCGGCCCGUCUUGAAACACGGACCAAGGAGUCUAACAUCUAUGCGAGUGUUUGGGUGGCAAACCCAUCCGCGUAAUGAAAGUGAACGGAGGUGAGAACCCUUAAGGGCGCAUCAUCGACCGAUCCUGAUGUCUUCGGAUGGAUUUGAGUAAGAGCAUAGCUGUUGGGACCCGAAAGAUGGUGAACUAUGCCUGAAUAGGGUGAAGCCAGAGGAAACUCUGGU